rnacentral:tRNA from 1 species
GCUCUGGUGGCUCAGAGUUUAAAGCGUCUGCCUGCAAUGUGGGAGACCUGGGUUCAAUCCCUGGAUUGGGCA